rnacentral:rRNA from 1 species
AUACGGAAGGUCCGGGCGUUAUCCGGAUUUAUUGGGUUUAAAGGGAGCGCAGGCGGAGAUGCAAGCGUGACGUCAAAUUUCGGGGCUCAACCCCGUCUCGCGUCGCGAACUGCGUCCCUUGGUUGCGGGAAGGGGAGGCGGAACUCGUGGUGUAGCGGUGAAAUGCAUAGAUAUCACGAAGAACUCCGAUCGCGAAGGCAGCCUUCCGGCCCGUCAACGACGCUCAUGCUCGAAGGUGCGGGUAUCAAACAGGAUUAGAUUCCCUGGUAGUCCGCGCAGUAAACGAUGGACACCCGCGGUUUGGCCUGUAUGGCUGAGCCGCCAAGCGAAAGCGUUAAGUGUCCCACCUGGGGAGUACGCCGGCAACGGUGAAACUUAAAGGAAUUGACGGGG